UGCCUAUGAUGUUUUCAAGAGUAGUGGACAGAAUUGAUUUCUGACAAUUUUUAUUAACACUGAGGCU